rnacentral:rRNA from 1 species
GAUGAACGCUGGCGGCGUGCCUAAUACAUGCAAGUCGAGCGAACAGACGAGGAGCUUUCUCCUCUUACGUUAGCGGCGGACGGGUGAGUGACACGUGGAUAACCUACCUAUAAGACUGGGAUAACUUCGGGAAACCGGAGCUAAUACCCGAUAAUAUAUUCAACCGCAUGGUUCAAUAGUGACAGGCGUUUUUGCUGUCACUUAUAGAUGGAUCCGGGCCGCAGUAGCUAGUUGGUAAGGUAACGGCUUACCAAGGCGACGAUGCGUAGCCGACCUGAGAGGGUGAUCGGCCACACUGGAACUGAGACACGGUCCAGACUCCUACGGGAGGCAGCAGUAGGGAAUCUUGCGCAAUGGGCGAAAGCCUGACGGAGCAACGCCGCGUGAGUGAUGAAGGUCUUCGGAUCGUAAAACUCUGUUAGUAGGGAAGAACAAAUGUGUAAGUAACUAUGCACGUAUUGACGGUACCUAAUCAGAAAGCCACGGCUAACUACGUG